rnacentral:sRNA from 1 species
CUUUUACAGGAAUGUUCCUAAACAGCAGAUUCUCCUAGGCUUUGAACGAAAUUUAGCUUCAAGGCCAAAAGCCUCAUUGUGAAGAGAAAGAAAGAUAUAGCAGUCUUGGCAGUUGCUGAACUGAAUUGCUGGCUGAAACGGCUUACAAAAUAUACAGAUCUUGGUAGACAACGUGGCUGCAGGCUGUUGAAUUGGAAUUCCCUGUGACUGUCUGAAGGCAGGGUGUCUGGAGAGCAGUGGGCUGACCUGUUCCUACACCUUACAUCAUGCCAGCUUUGUCAACGGGAUCUGGGAGUGACACCGGUCUGUAUGAGCUGUUGGCUGCUCUGCCAGCCCAGCUGCAGCCACAUGUGGAUAGCCAGGAAGACCUGACCUUCCUCUGGGAUAUGUUUGGUGAAAAAAGCCUGCAUUCAUUGGUAAAGAUUCAUGAAAAACUACACUACUAUGAGAAGCAGAGUCCGGUGCCCAUUCUCCAUGGUGCGGCGGCCUUGGCCGAUGAUCUGGCCGAAGAGCUUCAGAACAAGCCAUUAAACAGUGAGAUCAGAGAGCUGUUGAAACUACUGUCAAAACCCAACGUGAAGGCUUUGCUCUCUGUACAUGAUACUGUGGCUCAGAAGAAUUAUGACCCUAUGUUGCCUCCUAUGCCUGAAGAUAUUGACGAUGAGGAAGACUCAGUAAAAAUAAUCUGUCUGUUCAAAAAUAGAGAACCAUUGGGAGCUACCAUUAAGAAGGAUGAGCAGACCGGGGCAAUCAUUGUGGCCAGAAUCAUGAGAGGAGGAGCUGCAGAUAGAAGUGGUCUUAUUCACGUUGGUGAUGAACUUAGGGAAGUCAAUGGGAUAC